ACUACGGGAGGCAGCAGUGAGGAAUAUUGGUCAAUGGGCGGGAGCCUGAACCAGCCAAGUCGCGUGAGGGAAGACGGUCCUAUGGAUUGUAAACCUCUUUAGGCGGGGAGCAAUGCCGGGCACGCGUGCUCGGAGGUAGAGUACCCGCAGAAUAAGCAUCGGCAAACUGCGUCCCAGCGGCGGGGGUAAUACGGAGGAUCCGAGCGUUAACCGGAUUUAUUGGGUUUAAAGGGAGCGUAGAUGGGUUGUUAAGUCAGUUGUGAAAGUUUGCGGUUCAACCGUAAAAUUGCAAUUGUUACUGGCUGUCGUGAGUGCAGUUGAGGUAGGCGGAAUUCGUGGUGUAGCGGUGAAAUGCUUAGAUAUCACGAAGAACUCCGAUUGCGAAGGCAGCUUACUAAACUGCCACUGACAUUGAUGCUCGAAAGUGUGGGUAUCAAACAGGAUUAGAUACCCCUGUAGUC
rnacentral:rRNA from 1 species